rnacentral:rRNA from 1 species
CAUUCGAGAGAAGUAAGACCCCUUGAAGACGACGAGGUAGAUAGGGCAGAGGUGGAAGCAUAGUAAUAUGUGGAGCUGACUGUUACUAAUCGGUCGAGGGCUUGACCUU